rnacentral:rRNA from 1 species
GACGAACGCUGGCGGCGUGCCUAAUACAUGCAAGUAGAACGCUGAAGGAGGAGCUUGCUUCUCUGGAUGAGUUGCGAACGGGUGAGUAACGCGUAGGUAACCUGCCUGGUAGCGGGGGAUAACUAUUGGAAACGAUAGCUAAUACCGCAUAAUAGUAGAUGUUGCAUGACAUUUGCUUAAAAGGUGCAAUUGCAUCACUACCAGAUGGACCUGCGUUGUAUUAGCUAGUUGGUGGGGUAACGGCUCACCAAGGCGACGAUACAUAGCCGACCUGAGAGGGUGGUCGGCCACACUGGGACUGAGACACGGCCCAGACUCCUACGGGAGGCAGCAGUAGGGAAUCUUCGGCAAUGGACGGAAGUCUGACCGAGCAACGCCGCGUGAGUGAAGAAGGUUUUCGGAUCGUAAAGCUCUGUUGUAAGAGAAGAACGAGUGUGAGAGUGGAAAGUUCACGCUGUGACGGUAUCUUACCAGAAAGGGACGGCUAACUACGUG